AGAACAGCCCCACUGGAUCAGGCCCAAGGACUACCUAGUCGAGUAUCCUGUUUUACACAGUGGCCCACCAGAUGCUUCUGGGGAACCCACAGGCAAGAGAAAUAUCUUUAACAGCCUUCGGGAGAACUUGAUCUGCGACUGCUUUGUGAGGUGUUGAAGUGGAGAGAUUACUUAUGGAAGCCUCUAGCCUCUGGGUUAUAUAGUUGCUGUCAGGGUGAGAAGAAGGAGCCAUGGAAGGAGAAGAAAGAAGUAGGCCACAAGGCUGGGCCUACAGGCAAUCUAGCAAGCUGGCAGACUGGGAAGUCCAAGCAACAGAUCUAGUAGAUAGGGUCAAAGCUGACUGUUGCCCAGGCAAAGUCUAAGCUGGAAGUUUUUGUUCAGUUCAGGCCAGUUCAUGGGAAACCACUAGGUUGUCUGAGUAGACAGAGUCACACUGGAAUCUAAAAAGGGAAUAACAGGCAGGAAACCUUUCAACUUGGAGCUCUGAGUGGCUGUCUUUCAGGCCCAGCAGUGUCUGAACCCCAGUUCAAUGGUCCUUCCAGAGAGGAGGAGAAAGAAGCAUAUACUGCUGUGGAAAGUGGCACAGAUGAGGCUCCCCGAGAGGCAACAAUCUCUCAGGACUGAUCCAUAUUUCUUGAAACUGGGAUAUGGUGGGAUACCCUUCCCCUUAUCUGAACCACCGUCUCAGUUCCAAGCUUCCUAUGUCACUUCCAAGAACAAUGGUGACGACAGGCAAAGGCUGAAGCUCAGAAACUGUGAUAAAACAGCUGUUUGGCUUCCUGAGGUUUCUCUUCCUGUAGCCCUACUCAUGAAGAGGAGUCAAGGGCACACACACACACAAUUCCUCAGGACCCAGUUCAAGAUUAAGGAAGGGUGGUGUAUCCAGCCACUAUUAGAAACUAGCAGUUCCUGCCUGACUUUCAAUGAUGUAACAACUCACUGGGAGUUCCUCACAGAGCCAGCUAUUGCUCUAGCUCCAUCCCAUAGAUUCCAGUUCCCAUUUCCUAAUCCUGCUCUCAGCUCCAUUCGUUUGCCUUUUUUCCUACCUUUAGCUCAUACCUAGGCUCUGCCCUUGAUAUCUGGCCUGUGUCCUGUUGCAGAUGUUUCUGCUGAUGCCCUCUAUUAUCCCAUAGUAGUGAGUGCAGGCGUUCUCUCCUGUCUACUUCAGCGUAAAUUCCUACCACUUCUUUAAAAUUUUGUGAACACCUGACCUAUAAGUCAGU